UAACAACAUAAAACUAGUAAUGAGAACCAGGGCGGCUGUCCCUCCAAAUCAUCCUGUGCCGUCUGUUUGAGCUUUCAUUCUUUACCAGGCUAGAGGUCAGAAGCAAAUUUUGCUGCAUAAUGACUAAUUCCAUUCUUAUAGCCUACUGAUGAAAGUAAACGAGCAGAGCGAGAGCGAGAACCAUUCAGCCCGCUGUAUGGUGGCAAUUGUGCGGUCCUCAGCCCUCCUUUUUCUUGAGCAUGUCAACCACCCCAAUUGUCUUUCAUCCAUCCAGCUUCCUCGGCCAUUAACGAAGCCUGUUCGAUUGCCAUGGUUAUGGCCUUGCCUUUCUUUAUCUCCUGCAGUGCCCAGACCUCCACUAGUUCCCCUUUCGAGGUCCUUGCAACCAUCCCAAGGCCCGUUCUUAUUUUCUUUGCUGAAACAGCAGCGUCGGUGCCUCGCGAU
rnacentral:lncRNA from 1 species